rnacentral:tRNA from 1 species
GGGCGCGUAGCUCAAUGGCAGAGCACCACUCUUAUAAAGUGGGGGUCGCAGGUUCGAUCCCUGCCGCGCCCA